rnacentral:rRNA from 1 species
AGUGAACGCUGGCGGUAGGCCUAACACAUGCAAGUCGAACGGCAGCACAGUAAGAGCUUGCUCUUACGGGUGGCGAGUGGCGGACGGGUGAGGAAUACAUCGGAAUCUACUUUUUCGUGGGGGAUAACGUAGGGAAACUUACGCUAAUACCGCAUACGACCUACGGGUGAAAGUAGGGGAUCUUCGGACCCUGCGCGAUUGAAUGAGCCGAUGUCGGAUUAGCUAGUUGGCGGGGUAAAGGCCCACCAAGGCGACGAUCCGUAGCUGGUCUGAGAGGAUGAUCAGCCACACUGGAACUGAGACACGGUCCAGACUCCUACGGGAGGCAGCAGUGGGGAAUAUUGGACAAUGGGCGCAAGCCUGAUCCAGCCAUACCGCGUGGGUGAAGAAGGCCUUCGGGUUGUAAAGCCCUUUUGUUGGGAAAGAAAAGCAGCAGGUUAAUACCCCGCUGUUCUGACGGUACCCAAAGAAUAAGCACCGGCUAACUUCGUG